rnacentral:lncRNA from 1 species
GUAGAAGUUUUCGGGUCCCACAUAGCCGGAACCAAGUACUUUCUCCCAUUUAACCCGUGCGCAUUAAAGCUAGCACCCGUAGUCUUAUCCACCAACACCUGACCGGCAUACCCCGGGUACGCACCCGACCCGAAUAUCCCCGUACAAGCCGAAACCGCCUCUAACGGCGCGUUAGCCGGCCCUUGAAAAUACCCUUGGUUAAACGGGUUCGUAACGGCACCGGCCAACACCGUAGCUAAAUUAAUCACCAUUCCGUCCACUCCAACGUCGCCGUUAGGAGAAACUAACGGCGGCGAUUGUGGCCCGUAUAUCGGUUGAUGAAACGGCCAUGCACACUGACCCGGACACUGAGUCUCCGAGUUUCCAACCCACGCGUACGCGACCCGGUUACCCGUUUUCGUCGACCCGUGUGUCCCGCACCGGCUCCGACAAAACCCGUCUACACCGACUUCCUUCGCCGUUAACACGACGUUAAUGGAGUUUUUUUGUGAAACUUUUGUCGCUAAAUAUUGGAUAUGGUAGUUUUUUAAGAACUUUCCCAACGAGUAGUUUUCGUCGAGGAUUUGUUUCCCGACGACCGUUGCUGACGACCCGUUGUGAUAUUUCUCAGUGGUUUUCCACCAUGUUGCGACGGAGGGUGGUGGCGGCGCCGACCUUUUUACCGUAUUAACGGUGUUUAAAGAUUGUAAAAAGUCAACGAUGAUUGACCGUUGGGUGGGUGUAAACUUACCAUACCAGACAAUAUUAACGGUAACGGGGCCUUUUAACAGAGCUCCGUUGUGAUAUUUUAAGACAAGGGGCUGCUGAGUGACCAAGGCUGAAAAAGAUAUUUUGAGGAACAAGAAGAUGAGAAGAAUGGCAAGAUGGUAAUUAUGAGCCAUGAGGAGGGUUAAAGUGGGAAGUGGGGAGGUGGUGAGGAUGGGGGUAUGCAGGGUUUGGUUUAUAUAGGGGAGACAGCUGUAGGGUCAUUAUGGUUUGGGGAUACGUGGAAGAAGGGGAUUGGUGGGAGUGGUAGGAAGCCAGGCUAUUAAAAGCGUGGAUGCGUGUAUGGUGUAUGGAUGAUUAUGAUGUACGUAUCAAUGUUGAUUUGACUCACAUCACAUUUUUUCCAUUUGAGUCCAAUUAUAUGAAUUUUAAUUGGUGUUCUAUUUACUGGGAUGAUAUAUGUGGUGUAGAAAAAUAAAUAAAUUGUCUAUAUCAUGUAUUUUUAUAAGGUUGAUGUACAAAUAUAUUUAUUUUUAUGGGGUCUUAUU